GCGGCGAACGGGUGAGUAACACGUGAGUAAUCUGCCUCUGGCUUCGGGAUAGCCACCGGAAACGGUGAUUAAUACCGGAUACGACACGCUCUUGCAUGAGAUGUGUGUGGAAAGUUUUUUCGGCCAGGGAUGUGCUCGCGGCCUAUCAGCUUGUUGGUGGGGUAAUGGCCUACCAAGGCUUCGACGGGUAGCCGGCCUGAGAGGGUGACCGGCCACACUGGGACUGAGACACGGCCCAGACUCCUACGGGAGGCAGCAGUGGGGAAUAUUGGACAAUGGGCGGAAGCCUGAUCCAGCAACGCCGCGUGAGGGAUGACGGCCUUCGGGUUGUAAACCUCUUUCAGCACAGACGAAGCGCAAGUGACGGUAUGUGCAGAAGAAGGACCGGCCAACUACGUGCCAGCAGCCGCGGUAAUACGUAGGGUCCGAGCGUUGUCCGGAAUUAUUGGGCGUAAAGGGCUCGUAGGCGGUUUGUCGCGUCGGGAGUGAAAACACCGGGCUUAACUCGGUGCUUGCUUUCGAUACGGGCAGACUAGAGGCAUUCAGGGGAGAACGGAAUUCCUGGUGUAGCGGUGAAAUGCGCAGAUAUCAGGAGGAACACCGGUGGCGAAGGCGGUUCUCUGGGAAUGUCCUGACGCUGAGGAGCGAAAG
rnacentral:rRNA from 1 species